rnacentral:rRNA from 1 species
GACGAACGCUGGCGGCGUGCUUAACACAUGCAAGUCGAACGGAAAGGCCCUGCUUUUGUGGGGUGCUCGAGUAGCGAACGGGUGAGUAACACGUGAGUAACCUGCCCUUGACUUUGGGAUAACUUCAGGAAACUGGGGCUAAUACCGGAUAGGAGCUCCUGCUGCAUGGUGGGGGUUGGAAAGUUUCGGCGGUUGGGGAUGGACUCGCGGCUUAUCAGCUUGUUGGUGGGGUAGUGGCUUACCAAGGCUUUGACGGGUAGCCGGCCUGAGAGGGUGACCGGGCAAAAUGGGGAUGAGAUACGGGCCAGAAGUCUACGGGAGGGAGGAGGGGGGAAUAUUGCAAAAAGGGGGGAAGCCUGAUGCAGCAACGCCGCGUGCGGGAUGACGGCCUUCGGGUUGUAAACCGCUUUCGCCUGUGACGAAGCGUGAGUGACGGUAAUGGGUAAAGAAGCACCGGCUAACUACGUG